UCAAAUCCUAUCACCCCGAUUGCUUAUACAUAAUGGCAAGAUGCAAUUUUUUUCUGUGGAAUAUUGGCAGGAGA
rnacentral:tRNA from 1 species